GCGAUGUGUACACAUCUCAGAGCCAAUAUCAGUUAAAUUAAAUAAAUUAAAUUACUAUCAAAUCCACCUUCAUUAACAGUAUUUCACUAUCAAAUCCGUUAUAAACAAAAAUCUAUUGUAACCCACCUCCUCUUAACUAUAAGCUGCACCUUGACCUGAAAUAUUUUAUAAUUAUAAAUCUUGAGAAUUAUAACUCUAAAAAGAUUCUCUGAUAACGGAGAUAUACAAACAAAUAAAUUAAGUAGAGUAAAUCGUGUAUUAUCAAUCAUGGGGUAGGUUCCUCUGAAUGGAAUGAGGAGGUGGGUUACAAUAGAUUUUUGUUUAUAACGGAUUUGAUAGUGAAAUACUGUUAAUGAAGGUGGAUUUGAUAGUAAUUUAAUUUAUUUAAUUUAACUGAUAUUC